UACAGAGGUCUCAAGCGUUGUUCGGAUUCAUUGGGCGUAAAGGGUGCGUAGGCGGCUUGUUAAGUCUCGUGUGAAAUCUCCCGGCUCAACCGGGAGGGGCCAGGGGAAACUGACAAGCUGGAGUGCCGGAGAGGGUCGCGGAAUUCCAGGUGUAGCGGUGGAAUGCGUAGAUAUCUGGAGGAACACCAGUGGCGAAGGCGGCGACCUGGACGGUAACUGACGCUGAGGCACGAAAGCUGGGGGAGCAAACAGG
rnacentral:rRNA from 1 species